rnacentral:tRNA from 1 species
GGAGAGUUGGCAGAGUCUGGUUUAUUGCGACAGUCUUGAAAACUGUUGAACAGAAAUGUUCCGUGGGUUCAAAUCCUACACUCUCCUCCA